rnacentral:rRNA from 1 species
GAUGAACGCUGGCGGCGUGCCUAAUACAUGCAAGUCGAGCGAACGGACGAGAAGCUUGCUUCUCUGAUGUUAGCGGCGGACGGGUGAGUAACACGUGGAUAACCUACCUAUAAGACUGGGAUAACUUCGGGAAACCGGAGCUAAUACCGGAUAAUAUUUUGAACCGCAUGGUUCAAAAGUGAAAGACGGUCUUGCUGUCACUUAUAGAUGGAUCCGCGCUGCAUUAGCUAGUUGGUAAGGUAACGGCUUACCAAUGCAACGAUGCAUAGCCGACCUGAGAGGGUGAUCGGCCACACUGGAACUGAGACACGGUCCAGACUCCUACGGGAGGCAGCAGUAGGGAAUCUUCCGCAAUGGGCGAAAGCCUGACGGAGCAACGCCGCGUGAGUGAUGAAGGUCUUCGGAUCGUAAAACUCUGUUAUUAGGGAAGAACAUAUGUGUAAGUAACUGUGCACAUCUUGACGGUACCUAAUCAGAAAGCCACGGCUAACUACGUG